rnacentral:lncRNA from 1 species
CAAGAUCAUCAGGUCCUCAAAGCUUAAAAAAAUUCUUCUCUCAUUAAGCUGGGGAACGAGUUGCAGCAAAGGAUGCAGGACAGACGACUGAGAGGACAUGAACACAGACACAUGAGCAACAAUGAAAUUCUGAUCUUAUGAUGCAAAAAUAAUAUCUCUUCCUGCAGUAGUGGCUUAUGGACCAAUGGGUACCGAGGACUGAAGACGUUACUUAAGAAACUCAUUUUUGAACCCACUGAGUUGACAACAAACAGGAACAUACAUUUAUAUUUGCAUGGAAUGUGGCUUGCACAGAGAUGAAGGGACAAGCUAUGCAUCCUCACCUUUAUUCCCUGGCAGAUCAGAACUGUUUACAGACCUCCUACCCAAAUAACUGCAGUUAUUCAGGUACUGAUCAGCCUCUGUAUGUGGUACAG